AUUGAUGAUGAUAUGCAGGAAGUAGUGGAAUGGGAAGAAAUCAAGAGAGAUCUUUGAAGUCAACAGAAGCUGUUUCAUCUCAAGGGUUCUUCACUUGGGGCUAAAGUCCUGGAAAACCAACAGCCACCAAGGCCACCCUAAGCCAAUAGUUUCCAGAAAACUCAAAGAAUGAAUUUCACAGACAACAUAAGGGCUAAUAAAGACAAUCCCUUCCAUGCAUCUUAUGGCCACCUGACCUACACAGGCCCUCACUGAGACUCUUCUCCUGGUGAUUCUAGAGUGUGUCAGCCUGACAAAAUGGACAGUCACAUUAGAUAAAGGAGAAGAAAGUAACAGUCACUCUGGACCUGUUGGCAACGCUUCAGUGUCACAGGUGCGGGACAGCUCCCCAAAAGUCUACUUCAGUGAAGAUUUAGGAUGUCAGGAAGUCACUUCUAAGAUGAAAGGUGAAUUGCUGUAUCUCACCCCUCCUACAGAAAGUGGGGCAUGGAGCUGGCAGGCUCCAUGUGGGAGAAGAGAAAGCUGCAGCAGGUCUCGACUAGUCACCCUGCCACUUGGGCCACAUCAGCUUGCAGAUCCAGUUGUGCUUGACGUGGUACUGGCAGAUGUAGAUGCCACUGCAUCUUUGGCAGGCACAUAGAAGUGAAUCACAGAACAAACUCAGCAUUUGGAAGGAAGCCCUGCUCUCUCCAUGGAAACGACUCUGUUUAGUUGGAUGUUGGAUGUUGAUCAGAACUGAACCCUUAGAUAUCACUUUACUGUGUGGUCUGAACUCAGUGGCAAAUCAUGUCGGUAGUAAAUAAUGUUGAUGGGAUCUGACUGCACAUCUGUGGUUUUCUUCAUCACGCCCACAGCUCCAGAAUAAUGGGCGAGGGGGCAUUCAGAGAAUAGUUAGAAGAAGGGCAUCCUAUAAAAUAUCUGACCAGGCUGGAGUGAAGGCUC